UUCUCUGUCGGUUCAUUGUAAAACCUGUCUCUGUAGUUUUCUCUGUGGCUCUUGUUCCUUCUGUGUGAAUUUGAGAUUUUUGUGUUUUGGACAUUACAAUUUGUGCCAGAUUUUCUCCAACCAGUCUCUCUGUUUUGGCUGGCAGAUGGGUCCUGUCGUGUGGCCGCCUGAAGGAUGGCAUACCACAUCGCUCUCCCCUCAAAGGUCAAGACCACCGCUGUUCCCUGAAAGAUCGGCACACAAUAAAGUCGAGUGGAUUUGUCCAAACACUCACCAGCACUUGACAGAGGCAUCGAUUGGUUAAUGCUAAUCCCGACUCUCUGCUGAUGAGAGUCGCCAUCGACCUGUGACAGAGGUCGGAGUUUUGGUCGACUGCAGAGAGAACGUGAUGUCAGAGAGGCCGAGAAUCAGAGAGUCCACCGUGUUAUCUGUGAGACAAUCAGAAUUUAAGUCGGAGAGUGACACUCUGAGGAAGAGUCUAUCAAAACAAAGAUCGUGUUGUGAGUCACCAAGGUGGAUCUUUGUUGUGUCUCACUGGAGCAUGCUACAGGCAAAGAAUAACGAAGGCCACAAUAGAGAAAUGACGAAAGCAGUAAUUAGAAUCAGUGCGCCCUGAAAUCCUAAUGCAAUUACAUGGAGUUUGUUUCUGCACAAAACAACAAGAGGAUUAAAGUUUAAAUGACUCAUUUGCAAAGACAAGCAAUAAAACCGUCUCCAGCCAUGUUAUCCGGGAUUGAGGGCAUAUAAUGCAGACUUUGUCAUGCAUUAUUAAUGAGUGUUAUAUUAAAAGUAAUAUAUGCAAGCUUCCUGCGUCUCCUAUUACAGAGGGGAAGCGGAGCUAGUGAUUAAAAACUUCAUCUGAGUGACGCAUCAUGGGUUUGUGCAAAGACCGAACCAAAACAUACUAGAACAGAAUAUUUUAAGCAAUUUGACAAAAACUUUGACUUUAUUAAUUUCAUGGACUUAUGUCAAUAUCUAA